UACGAAGGGGGCUAGCGUUGUUCGGAAUUACUGGGCGUAAAGCGUGCGCAGGCGGCUUCUCAAGUCAGGGGUGAAAGCCCAGAGCUCAACUCUGGAAUUGCCUUUGAGACUGAGUGGCUUGAGUACGAGAGAGGUGAGUGGAAUUCCCAGUGUAGAGGUGAAAUUCGUAGAUAUUGGGAAGAACACCGGUGGCGAAGGCGGCUCGCUGGGCCUGAUCUGACGCUGAGGCGCGAAGGCGUGGGGAGCGAACAGG
rnacentral:rRNA from 1 species